rnacentral:rRNA from 1 species
GCGGCAUGCCUUACACAUGCAAGCCUAACGGCAGCACGGGUGCUUGCACCUGGUGGCGAGUGGCGAACGGGUGAGUAAUACAUCGGAACAUGUCCUGUAGUGGGGGAUAGCCCGGCGAAAGCCGGAUUAAUACCGCAUACGAUCUACGGAUGAAAGCGGGGGACCUUCGGGCCUCGCGCUAUAGGGUUGGCCGAUGGCUGAUUAGCUAGUUGGUGGGGUAAAGGCCUACCAAGGCGACGAUCAGUAGCUGGUCUGAGAGGACGACCAGCCACACUGGGACUGAGACACGGCCCAGACUCCUACGGGAGGCAGCAGUGGGGAAUUUUGGACAAUGGGCGAAAGCCUGAUCCAGCAAUGCCGCGUGUGUGAAGAAGGCCUUCGGGUUGUAAAGCACUUUUGUCCGGAAAGAAAUCCUUGGCUCUAAUACAGUCGGGGGAUGACGGUACCGGAAGAAUAAGCACCGGCUAACUACGUGCCAGCAGCCGCGGUAAUACGUAGGGUACGAGCGUUAAUCGGAAUUACUGGGCGUAAAGCGUGCGCAGGCGGUUUGCUAAGACCGAUGUGAAAUCCCCGGGCUCAACCUGGGAACUGCAUUGGUGACUGGCAGGCUAGAGUAUGGCAGAGGGGGGUAGAAUUCCACGUGUAGCAGUGAAAUGCGUAGAGAUGUGGAGGAAUACCGAUGGCGAAGGCAGCCCCCUGGGCCAAUACUGACGCUCAUGCACGAAAGCGUGGGGGAGCAAACAGGAUUAGAUACCCUGGUAGUCCACGCCCUAAACGAUGUCAACUAGUUGUUGGGGAUUCAUUUCCUUAGUAACGUAGCUAACGCGUGAAGUUGACCGCCUGGGGAGUACGGUCGCAAGAUUAAAACUCAAAGGAAUUGACGGGGACCCGCACAAGCGGUGGAUGAUGUGGAUUAAUUCGAUGCAACGCGAAAAACCUUACCUACCCUUGACAUGGUCGGAAUCCCGCUGAGAGGUGGGAGUGCUCGAAAGAGAACCGGCGCACAGGUGCUGCAUGGCUGUCGUCAGCUCGUGUCGUGAGAUGUUGGGUUAAGUCCCGCAACGAGCGCAACCCUUGUCCUUAGUUGCUACGCAAGAGCACUCUAAGGAGACUGCCGGUGACAAACCGGAGGAAGGUGGGGAUGACGUCAAGUCCUCAUGGCCCUUAUGGGUAGGGCUUCACACGUCAUACAAUGGUCGGAACAGAGGGUUGCCAACCCGCGAGGGGGAGCUAAUCCCAGAAAACCGAUCGUAGUCCGGAUUGCACUCUGCAACUCGAGUGCAUGAAGCUGGAAUCGCUAGUAAUCGCGGAUCAGCAUGCCGCGGUGAAUACGUUCCCGGGUCUUGUACACACCGCCCGUCACACCAUGGGAGUGGGUUUUACCAGAAGUGGCUAGUCUAACCGCAAGGAGGACGGUCACCACGGUAGGAUUCAUGAC